rnacentral:rRNA from 1 species
UACGUAGGGGGCAAGCGUUGUCCGGAAUCAUUGGGCGUAAAGAGCGCGCAGGCGGUCGUUCAAGUCGAGUGUGAAAGCCCCCGGCUCAACUGGGGAGGGUCACUCGAUACUGAUCGACUUGAAGGCGGGAGAGGGAAGCGGAAUUCCCGGUGUAGUGGUGAAAUGCGUAGAUAUCGGGAGGAACACCAGUGGCGAAGGCGGCUUUCUGGCCCGUUCUUGACGCUGAGGCGCGAAAGCUAGGGUAGCAAACGGG